rnacentral:rRNA from 1 species
GAUGAACGCUGGCGGCGUGCCUAAUACACGCAAGUCGAGCGAAGCGGGGACGGGCGAGUAACACGUGGAUAACCUCCUAUAAGACUGGGAUAACUUCGGGAAACCGGAGCUAAACCGGAUACUUAUAGAUGGAUUUGCCCUGCAUUAGCUAGUUGGUAAGGUAACUGUUUACCAAGGCAACGAUGCAUAGCCGACCUGAGAGGGUGGUAGGACACGCUGUAACUGAAGCGCGAUCCAGACUCCUAGAAGAGGAAUGAGUAGGAAAUCUUCCGAAAUAGGCGAGAGCCUUACGGAGAAACGCCACGUGAGUGAUGAAGGUCUUCGGAUCGUAAAACUCUUUUAUUAGGAAAACGGUACCUAAUCAGAAGGCCACGGCUAACUACGUGCCGGCAGCCGCGGUAAUAC